UACGGGGGGGGUAAGCGUUGUUCGGAAUUACUGGGCGUAAAGGGCUCGUAGGCGGCCAACUAAGUCAUACGUGAAAUCCCUCAGCUUAACUGGGGAACUGCGUGUGAUACUGGAUGGCUUGGAUUUGGGAGAGGGAUGCGGAAUUCCAGGUGUAGCGGUGAAAUGUGUAGAGAUCAGGAGGAACACCGGUGGCGAAGGCGGGUCUCUGGGCAUCUCCUGACGCUGGGGCGCGAAAGCGUGGGGAGCAAACGGG
rnacentral:rRNA from 1 species